rnacentral:rRNA from 1 species
UACAGAGGUCUCAAGCGUUGUUCGGAUUUAUUGGGCGUAAAGCGUGCGUAGGCGGCGGGGUAAGUGAGGUGUGAAAUCCCGGAGCUUAACUCCGGAACUGCACUUUAUACUGCCUUGCUCGAGGGCUGGAGAGGAGACUGGAAUUUACGGUGUAGCAGUGAAAUGCGUAGAUAUCGGGAGGAACACCAGUGGCGAAGGCGACUACCUGGCCUGUUUCUUGACGCUGAGGCGGCGAAAGCUAGGGGAGCAAACGGGG